ACCCAGGAGUUAAGAAGGGGAGGCAUUGAGAGACUCGGACUGAAAUAGAGCCACAGGAUGAAGUCUGGGGUACCUGGCAGAUUCCUGAGGUGGAAGUGUGUUGACAUCAGCUGCAAUUACUAGAUACAGUUUGCACAGCAGUAAAUGGUACACUGGGACUCAAAUCCAGGUAA